GGGGAUAACGGACGGAAACGUCCGCUAAUACCGCAUGACCUUGUCAGGUCUAAGCGACAAGUAAAGGCUCCUGCGCUCUGUCAGGAGCCUGCGGCCCAUCAGCUAGUUGGCGGGGUAAAGGCCCACCAAGGCGAAGACGGAUAGGGGGUGUGAGAGCAUGGCCCCUCACCAUGGGACUGAAACACGGCCCAUACUCCUACGGGAGGCAGCAGCAGGGAAUAUUGCACAAUGGACGGAAGUCUGAUGCAUCGACGCCGCGUGCAUGAUGAAGGACCUCGGGUUGUAAAAUCCUUUACAAGGUGACGAGGAAAGACGGUACCCUUGGAACAAGUGUCGGCUAACUACGUGCCAGCAGCCGCGGUAAGACGUAGGACACAAGCGUUAUCCGGAUUUACUGGGCGUAAAGCGUCUGCAGGCGGACAGGUAAGUUGGGCGUGAAAGCUCCGGGCCCAACCCGGAGAGGUCGUUCAAUACUGCGUGUCUAGAGGGUGUCAGAGGGGAGUGGAAUUUCCGGAGUAGCGUUAAAAUGCGCAGAGAUCGGAAAGAACACCAAUGGCGAAGGCAGCUCCCUGGAGCAUAUCUGACGCUAAGAGACGAAAGCUAGGGGAGCGAUCAGGAUUAGAGACCCUGGUAGUCAUAACCCUAAACUAUGGAUGCUAGAUGUGGGGGCAUAGCACUCCGUGUCGAAUAUAACGCGUUAAGCAUCCCGCCUGGGGACUACGGCCUCUAGGUUAAAACUCAAAGUGAAUUGACGGGUCGCCGCACAAGCAGCGGAGCGUGUGGUUUAAUUCGAUGUUACACGAAGAACCUUACCUGGGUCUGACAUCUAGGUGGUAGCCAAGUGAAAGCGGAGCGACCCUUCGGGGAGCCUAGACAGGUGCUGCAUGGCUGUCGUCAGCUCGUGUCGUGAGGUGUCGGGUUAAGUCCCAUAACGAGCGCAACCCUUGCCCUUCGUUAUACGUGUCAGAGAGGAACUCCCGGCGGUAAGCCGGAGGAAGGUGGGGAUGA
rnacentral:rRNA from 1 species